rnacentral:rRNA from 1 species
CCCUUAGAUGUUCUGGGCCGCACGCGCGCUACGCUGACGAAGUCAGCGAGCAUGUCCUACGCCGACAGGUGCGGGGAAUCUUGUCAAACUUCGUCGUGAUGGGGAUUGAUUAUUGAAAUUCUUGAUCAUCAACGAGGAAUUCCUAGUAAGCGCAAGUCAGCAGCUUGCGUUGAUUACGUCCCUGCCCUUUGUACACACCGCCCGUCGCUACUACCGAUUGAACGGUUUAGUGAGGGCCUCGGAUUGGUCUCGGCCCGCUCUUUACCGGGCGGCGCCGUUGGUCGAGAAGACGCUCGAACUUGAUCGUUUAGAGGAAGUAAAAGUCGUAACA